rnacentral:RNase_P_RNA from 1 species
UAAGUCAGAUAAGUGAUUGCGGCUGCCAUUGGGCAGGUGAGGAAAGUCCGGGCUUCAUAGGGCAGGAUGCCGGAUAACGUCCGGUGGAGGCGACUCCCAGGCUAGUGCAACAGAAAUAUACCGCCUACUUAGGUAGGUAAGGGUGGAAAGGCGAGGUAAGAGCUCACCGCAGUCUUGGUAACAAGGCUGGCUCUGUAAACCCCAUCCGAAGCAAGACCAAAUAGAAGACUAUGCAGUUGCCCGCUGGGUCUUCAGGUAGGUCGCUUGAGCCUUGUGGUAACAUAAGGCCUAGAUAGAUAAUCACUCUCGACAUAACCCGGCUUAUAGUCUGGCUUACACA